rnacentral:lncRNA from 1 species
UCAUCUUCAAUCUUCAAACAAACCCUAAAUCAAAAAUCCUAAAUUCAAUUCGAAACGAAGGUUGAAGAAAAUGAGUAAUUUGAGGACAGUUUGCAGACCUCAUCAUGCUGUAUACUCAUCCAUAACAUGUUGUUACAAUCGAGCUAGGUCUCGACCUCGAUCCAUUGUCAGUGCUUCACUAAAUUAUCUGGGAUAGUUUGGUAAUUUAGUUUGCAGACCUCAUCAUGCUGUAUACUCAUCCAUAACAUGUUGUAACACUAUAUAACAAAUAUAACACUAAAUUAUCUGGGAUAGUUUGGUAAUUUACUUUAAGCUAGUAAUCACUUUAUUUCAAUCCGAAAUUAUCAGAAAAUCAGAAUCAUAAUCACUGUUUUGCCCAAACAAUUCUAUUAUCUUGGUGAUGCAUUUAAGGGUGUUCUUCGGGGGGUUUUCGGGUUUUUGGCAGUGACAAAGUGACCCGAUAACCGACCCAUUUAAAGUUCAGGUUGGUCAGGUUCGGGUUAUUCGGACAUUCGGGUUCGGGUAAAAUGACAGCCCUAUGUAUGAAUGAUAUCCAUGGAUACCAAAUAAUCAGAAUUGGAUAAUCAGUUGUAAUAAUUUGAUUAUGUUUGGGUGUUUGGCAAGUUAUGAUUUUUAAGGAGUUAUAAAGAUAAAAUCAGUGUGUGCAAGUAAUUUUACUAUACGCGUUGGUAAAAUGUUUAAUUUAUUUAAAAUUUAACUGUACAGAACUAGAAGGAGAUGCUGAUGAUGAUGAUGAGAUAAAGCUGGCUUACAGACGUUUAGCAAAGUUAUAUCACCCUGAUGGUUUUUUAUAAUGGCAAAGGGUCUCUAGAAGAAGGAGAAACUGCCGAAGCUCGGUUUAUCAAAAUUCAAUUCAAGCAGCCUAUGAAUUGCUUAUAGAUAGUGAAGAA